UGGGGAAUUUUGGACAAUGGGCGCAAGCCUGAUCCAGCCAUGCCGCGUGCAGGAUGAAGGCCUUCGGGUUGUAAACUGCUUUUGUACGGAACGAAAAGGUGCCUUCUAAUAAAGGGCGCUCAUGACGGUACCGUAAGAAUAAGCACCGGCUAACUACGUGCCAGCAGCCGCGGUAAUACGUAGGGUGCGAGCGUUAAUCGGAAUUACUGGGCGUAAAGCGUGCGCAGGCGGUUUUGUAAGACAGAGGUGAAAUCCCCGGGCUCAACCUGGGAACUGCCUUUGUGACUGCAAGGCUGGAGUGCAGCAGAGGGUGAUGGAAUUCCGCGUGUAGCAGUGAAAUGCGUAGAUAUGCGGAGGAACACCGAUGGCGAAGGCAAUCCCCUGGGCCUGCACUGACGCUCAUGCACGAAAGCGUGGGGAGCAAACA
rnacentral:rRNA from 1 species